GCCCUUGGGAUCGAAGACAGAGCAUGAGAGCUUCUUGGAAUCAAUGUUGGCACCCACCUUACUCAUAUCCACCAUAAAAUCGGUUUUUUCAUUCAUGAUGACACCUAGUGGGGAGAGGGAGAGGGAAGGUUUUCGAUAAUGGAAUCGGCUUGCAGCAUCACAGCAACAGCGCAAAACGGAACAAAACAAUUAACAACGAAUUUGGGUUGCCAUUAUAGCCUACCAUGUGGCUGUAUGCCGAUACCACUAACACGUGUAUUGCUGAGAUUCGGCAAGGGAAAUAUAAUCGUAUAGUCUCCGGCUUCGGUGGGCAAAUAGGCCACAUUGCAUGUGCCAUCUCCGUUGUCGCGGCAGUUAAUGGCUGCUUCACAGGGCCCCUCUACGGUGACACCCAGCCCACCUUGGCCCGCUCCACGUGUGU